rnacentral:rRNA from 1 species
UACAGAGACUGCAAGCGUUAUUCGGAUUCACUGGGCGUAAAGGGUGCGCAGGUGGCCAAGUGUGUUAGGCGUGAAAGCCCGGGGCUUAACCCCGGAAUUGCACCUAAAACUACUUGGCUAGAGCAUUGGAGAGGGGAGCAGAAUUCAUGGUGUAGCAGUGAAAUGCGUAGAUAUCAUGAGGAAUACCAGAGGCGAAGGCGGCUCCCUGGACAAUUGCUGACACUCAGGCACGAAAGCGUGGGGAGCAAAAAGG